AUGUUGAUUUUUUCAUUGUCAACAUCAAGAACGUGUCUGGUGUUGAUGCCGCAAGUCUGCCGUGACAUGCAGUUUGAGCCUCAUACGAAGGUAGCAGCUGUAUGCCGCUGUUUCAGUUCAGGAUUUUUAACUGCCACAAGUGGACUAAAUCUCGCCUCUCCAACCAAUGAGACAAUCGUAAGCACGUGCCGGAUCCACAAGGCGGGGAUUGGAGGCCCCCUUGUCGAUUUUGAUGGCAACUUUGUCGGGAUGAACUCCUCUCGUACCAAAAUGGAGAAGACUGCCUACGUGCGAAGGGAGGGAAUUUUCCGAUUCUUGGUGCUUCACGGGAAGGUCAGUGUUAGAGUUAAGGAAGGGUUUGAUGAUGCUUCAAGGGCAAGAAUGAACAGUGAGAUGAAAGCAAUUAGGCCAAGUUUGAGUGCUAAGUCCGUAGAGAAAUUGAGUAAAUCCAGAAAAGGUGCCUUGAGUAAGCAAGUACUUUCCAGAUUAAGCAUGAGCAUUGUGGCGCUGGCCUCAUUCGAUGGUGAUACCCAAUUACACGAAUGCACGGGCACAUGCAUCGAAAGCUCAUGUCCUGAUGCUACGUGUUUCCUGACAUCGAUAAAUUUGAUUCCUUAUACUUGGUGGUUAGGGAAGAUCACUGAAAGUUUGACGAUUAAAGUACGCCUUCCUGAUGAUCAGAUUGUCACUGGGUGGAUAGAGAAUCCUGAGAUAUAUGUUGAUUUUUUUAUCGUCAAAAUCAAGAACGACGAUGUUAUUGAUCCCCUCCAUCUAUGUCAUCUAAGUCUUGAUCGUGCCACGCAGUUUGAGCCUUAUAGGAAGGUAGCAGCUGUAUGGCGGCAUUAUGAUUCAGGAGAAUUAAAGGCCACAAGUGGAGUAGAUCUUGCCUCUGUAUGCGCUCUUACAGAUGAGGAGAUGUUAAGCACAUGCCGUAUCCAUGAGGUGGGGAUUGGAGGUCCCCUUGUUGAUUUUGAUGGCAACUUUGUUGGGAUGAACUGCUCUGGUACCAAACAAAGAAAGACCCCCUACGUACAAAGGCCUUCAAUUCGUGAAUUCAUGUAG
rnacentral:rRNA from 1 species